ACGCCUAGAGCUCAGAAGUGUAUUAUAAGUAUAUAAACGAGGAAAAAAUAGUUUUCUUCUUUCUUUUAAAUUUCUUUUUAUUUUACGCGAUCCAUGGUCGACCAGGAGAAGAUGAGCGAUAUGGACAAGGACAUGAAUCCGAUCCUCAACAAAAACAACUAUAAGUACUGGAAAAGGAUGACGGAAGUUUCUAUGGUUUCCCUGGGCUUGUGGGAUGCGGUGGAUCCAGGAUUGACUGCAGUAGAAAGGACAAGAUCUGAGUACGUCAAACUGGAUAACAUGGCACGUGCAUACAUUUUCCGGCACGUUCGCCCCGAGUAUCUUGUAGACAUCAAACGCCUGAAAACAGCAAAGGAGUGUUGGAAAGCACUGGAAGAGAUCUAUGGGAGAUCCACAUUGAUGGACAUCGCCUUGUGCGUGCGGGAACUGGGCACUAUCGAAAAGACUCCCAGCAUGGAUAUCCUCGUGUAUUGUGAAAAAAUUCAAGUUGUGUUUGACAAAUUGUCUGAAGCCGGUAUUAAAUUUGAAGAUAACGUGGUGGCAUCUUUUAUUUUGACUGGACUUUCGACAGAUCCAAAUUAUUCGACCUAUGUCAGAACAACAAAGAUUGAUAAGGUUCUGACCUCGAGGGCAGUGAAGGCCGACCUCCUACUCGAAGAGAAAAGAAUUAAUGCGUUGGCACCUAGAAGGCAAUAGAAACCCAGGUUAGUACCAAAACAAAGAUGGCGCGAAUCCGAAGAGCAGAGACACAAGUGAUCAAAGAUGUUACAAAUGUAGAAAAUGGGGCCACAUUUCAUACCAGUGUCGAGGGGAGAAAGGAGAUAGAGAAGACAGGGCAACCUUUGAAAGUGUUUCGUGAUUUAGAUUUUGCAGGGUGUUUAGUAAAUAGAAAAUCUAGAAAAUUCGUAGCAAUGCAGGAGGCAGUAAGGGAGACUGCGUAGAUAUCCUCACUGUUAAGAAAGUUGGAUCAAUUGUCAUAUUGUCCCCGACCAUGCAGAACUUUCUGUGACAAUAUUAGAGCUAUUUCAUGAUCCAAGGAUGAGGUAGUCGCUGAGAGUUCUAAACAAAUAUCCUUACCAAAGGCUUAAAUAGAAUUAAGACUCGGUGUUUUACCAAAACUAUGGGGCUUGUAGAAACUAUAAUCAAAGGGGAGUGUUGAGAUAAAUGUCAGGUUGGUAUGAUCACUAGUUCCUACGUGCAGAGUUGGUACGACUACUUACGACUGAGUAUCGACUAUUUAUCUGAGUAUUCGGUGUGUUGUAAUGGCUGUACAAGGUGGUGAAAUACAGAGUAUACAAAACUAA